GGCAUAUAUAUGACGUUCCUGUUUGUGAUUGUAGUGAGUUGACGACAUCAGGAAUUCUCUGCACAUGUCAACACCGUUUUCCUUGUAAAGAGCCACCUCCGUUACAUCGUAUUUCCAUCAGAAAACAAAUCCGGGGAUAAACUAGAAGAUUGUAAAAUUUAAUAAAAUGAAAACUAAUAUUACAUGCUGUGGUUUCGGGCUUGGAAGGAUUAUGGGCUUCGGCCCAGAACCUCCUGAUAUUUAAAAAAAAU
rnacentral:sRNA from 1 species